rnacentral:rRNA from 1 species
GACGAACGCUGGCGGCGUGCCUAAUACAUGCAAGUAGAACGCACAGUUUAUACCGUAGCUUGCUACACCAUAGACUGUGAGUUGCGAACGGGUGAGUAACGCGUAGGUAACCUGCCUGGUAGCGGGGGGUAACUAUUGGAAACGAUAGCUAAUACCGCAUAAUAUUGAUUAUUGCAUGAUAAUUGAUUGAAAGAUGCUAUUGCAUCACUACCAGAUGGACCUGCGUUGUAUUAGCUAGUAGGUGAGGUAACGGCUCACCUAGGCGACGAUACAUAGCCGACCUGAGAGGGUGAUCGGCCACCCUGGGACGGAGACACGGCCCAGACUCCUACGGGAGGCAGCAGUAGGGAAUCUUCGGCAAUGGACGAAAGUCUGACCGAGCAACGCCGCGUGAGUGAAGAAGGUUUUCGGAUCGUAAAGCUCUGUUGUAAGAGAAGAACGGGUGUGAGAGUGGAAAGUUCACACUGUGACGGUAUCUUACCAGAAAGGGACGGCUAACUACGUG